rnacentral:misc_RNA from 1 species
CACUUUGAAAGCGCUGCAGAUGCGACAGCAGCUCUCUGGCCCAGCAGCUAUCAAUUAAACGUUUCAACAUAUUUAACUAGUCAUAAGCCAGUCGAGUUAUUAAAUGUUGCUGAAAACGCAGUCAACAGAAUAUUAAACCCAAAAUCCAACUGUUUGUUUACCCUGUAAAAUUCAAGAAAAAUAGUACGCGUUUCUUUACUUAUUUGCAAGCCCACCAUUGGGCCAUUUCAAACUGGCACAUCAAUUUUGGUUUUCCUAUCCGCCACCUGGCGCUGGCGGCGGCUCCUCAACUCAGCUACAAAUUCUAGCAAGAUCGUAUAUGUAAAACUUGCCACACACACACACACGCACACACAUAAACAUUCAUAUACACACACACACACACAGACACACUGAAACACAUGUUAGCAUAGCUGCAAGUGUAUUUGUAUAUUCAGUGUUUCCUCGACUCGAAAGCAAAACAAAACAGAACGCUAAACAAACAACAACAGCAAUAAA